AAACCGGUCCUUUUCAGGACCAACUUGAACAUUUACAAAAGAGUUUU
rfam:Lasius niger Lnig_2.1_36559, whole genome shotgun sequence.